UGACAAGGGAAGUCUGAAGCCGUCCGCUACAUCCAGUGUCCGUGAAACCGCAUCAUUGCACCCUCGCCGUCGCAGCAACCUCGCCGCUCCAUUGCGGCCUCAUCGCGACUCGCGACCUCGCUGACAGCCGGCCGUAGCCAUGUGAUUACGGACGACGCGAGUGACAAGUCCAUACGUGAGGUGUUUCAGACUUUCCAUUCAGAUUUGAGAGGCUUGUGCACACGCUGCAGCUAGGGCAGUGUCCGACCUUACACUAUUUAGUGAAUAAUUGUUAUCUCAAUUUCUCAACUAGUGGUCUCAUGUUCCUAGAAAGCAAACAUUUGCCAAUGAGAGAAGAAAAAAGAAGAAAUGGACAGAAGAGUUGAUACACAAUGGUAGAGACGGC